UACGGGGGGAGCAAGCGUUGUUCGGAUUUACUGGGCGUAAAGGGCGCGUAGGCGGUCAGCACAAGUCAGUUGUGAAAUCUCCGGGCUUAACUCGGAAAGGUCAACUGAUACUGUGCGACUAGAGUGCGGAAGGGGCAACUGGAAUUCUCGGUGUAGCGGUGAAAUGCGUAGAUAUCGAGAGGAACACCUGCGGCGAAGGCGGGUUGCUGGGCCGACACUGACGCUGAUGCGCGAAAGCGUGGGGAGCGAACCGG
rnacentral:rRNA from 1 species